UACAGCACAGAAGUGUUUAAUCAAUCACAGCUGUACACCACAACCCUGUUCAGCCAUUCCCCAAUUAAUGGGGAUCCUUGCAAUUUCCAAUUCUUGGUCAUCACAAAGAAAGAAAGCAGCUAUCAACAUCCCAUUCACAUUUCAAGUUAUAAUUACUAUUUGUGAAUUUCUGGCUCCAAAUGCCUAUCUUUUAAACAAAAUUUGACCCUACACGUUGUCCCAAUUUUUUCCCUUUUAGACCCAGAGAAGUAAUCUAUGCUUGUUACUUCUACUUACUCAGUCUGUAAUUACAGUGUGGGUUCUAUUCCUAUAUAAAAGUAUUAACUUCUCCAAAAGGGGGAAAAAAGUAUUAUUUUUCAAUGCUUAUUCUGCUUGACCUCUAACUUUUUCUGGGUUUUUUUUGUUUGUUUGUUUUUUGUGGGUGUGUAUAUAUAUAUAUAUAUAUAUAUUCCUUGGGUUUUGUUUGCUUUCUCCUUGUUCUCCUCCUAACUCUGUGACUGACUUCAUUUGCCUCUGGUGUAUCAUCCACUUUAUAUUCCCAAAGUUCUUGGGCCUUUGUGAUCUUCUCUGUUCACACAACUCAUCUUCUCCAUUUCCCACUUUUUUUUUUUUGACAGCUACAUUUGAAUCUCUAAAGCAUCUCAAGAAUUAUCCUCAAUUGAACUCAUCUUUACCCACUACAACUUGUACUUGCAAACUUUGUUUCAGUUGAUGUCAAUUCAUGGUUGAGUCUCUUAGACUAAAACUUGAGGGAAGCCCAUACUCUAUCUCAUCCUAGUUAACUCCACAUCCAGUCCCUUUUAUCCGUGCACAUGAUCAUUACCUUGGUUUUAGGGUCUCACUACCUACCUAGCUUAUUGCAAUUACCCAACUGGUUUCCUUGUGGUCAGUUUCUUUUCCAGUCCAUUCUUCAUGUAUUUUCUUUCCCAUGGCUGAGAAAACUAAAGUAAAACCUGUCAUGGCCAGGAAUUAUGUUAUAAUUGGUCUUUGCAUUUCCAGCAUGUGGCACACUUCCUUGCACAGUAUUUAAUAUUUAUUAAAUGGUGAAUCCCUUUUCCUCCAUAUAUUCAGUGUUCUAGGUAGGCUGAACUCCCUUCAGUCUCCUAAAUGUGCCAUGGAUUAUAAGAAAAUAAGUUUAGAGCUCAGAGAGACCUCAGAAAAUGUAUAGAAAAGUUUGGUUUUCUAGAAAAGGGAACUGCUCAAAGUCAAAUUGUAUUGAGAAUGAGGAGUUAAGCCCUGAUAUUAUGAUUCCAAAUUCCUUUAUAGUAGUGCCUGCGGGUUAUAUUUUUUCAAAGUCUUUGCCAAUAGCAUUGUCUCUCUUUGCUUAAAAUAUCCUCUUUUUAGACUGGAAUCAAAUGGAGCCCAUCUUUCUCCUCCCCCCCAGCUAGACUACAACCGCUUUUCCUUUGCUUUUUUAAAAAGAAAAUUUCUUUUCAGGUGAAAGUGACUUCAUUUAGGGGUGAAACUGGAUGUGGAUGACUUCUCUUCCCCCCCUCCCUCACUCUAAAUUUGUGAUUCUGUGAUAAGUCAUUGUAAAGCGCUUAACACAAGUGUCUGGCACAGAGUCAAGAUGUAUCAGUGCUUAUUCAAAUCCUCCCAUUUGAUACUUUUGGUGACCUGGCUUUAGGGAACAUUCUUUUAAGGGGAGAAAAAAAAAAGCAACAUAUGGGUAAUUGUUGGGAAUAGUUUUGUGUCAAAUAUUUCUGUAAAGUAAAAAUUUAAUAAAUUGUAUUUUCUGGCUA
rnacentral:lncRNA from 1 species